GACGAACGCUGGCGGCGUGCCUAAUACAUGCAAGUCGAACGAAACUUUCUUACACCGAAUGCUUGCAUUCACCGUAAGAAGUUGAGUGGCGGACGGGUGAGUAACACGUGGGUAACCUGCCUAAAAGAAGGGGAUAACACUUGGAAACAGGUGCUAAUACCGUAUAUCUCUAAGGAUCGCAUGAUUCUUAGAUGAAAGAUGGUUCUGCUAUCGCUUUUAGAUGGACCCGCGGCGUAUUAACUAGUUGGUGGGGUAACGGCCUACCAAGGUGAUGAUACGUAGCCGAACUGAGAGGUUGAUCGGCCACAUUGGGACUGAGACACGGCCCAAACUCCUACGGGAGGCAGCAGUAGGGAAUCUUCCACAAUGGACGCAAGUCUGAUGGAGCAACGCCGCGUGAGUGAAGAAGGUCUUCGGAUCGUAAAACUCUGUUGUUAGAGAAGAACACGAGUGAGAGUAACU
rnacentral:rRNA from 2 species